rnacentral:tRNA from 2 species
GGGGCCGUAGGGUAGCUUGGCCCAUCCUCCAGGCUUCGGGAGCCUGACACCCGAGUUCAAAUCUCGGCGGCCCCA